GGGAGUAAGAUAGAAGGGGCGGAGCCAGCAGCGGGCGGAGGCGGCUCAGACACACUCAGCGCAGAGACACGGAGGAGGAGAGAGAGUCGCGGAAAAAACGGGGAUUUACCGGAGAGCAGUAAGGGCGCACCGUGUAAUUCCGAGAACAAACAACCCCCCUGGAGUGUAUAGAGCAGCGGGUGACCAAAGAGAGGCGCAACAAGGGCCUGGGGGAAGGAGAGAUAGAGAGAGAAAUUCCCGUGUGUGUGUGUGCGACUGGGGUGAGAGCCAGAUCCCUCGCACGGGCAGCCGGGACUAUCUGGACUACAGCCUUAUAUCUGGGGGUGCCACCUGGGAAUUGGAUCGCCGAGGCCGAGAGAUGAUGUGACUAUGCUGAGCGUGACCGGAGCCGGAGCAGCCAUGAGUGGCCGAGAGGAGCAGGAGCCGGCGGGGAGCGAUCUUAGCACUGCUGGCCUUGUAUCCCCAGGCUUGGAAAAUGGAGAAGUUACUGCUGAAAGGCGAUCCCUUCACUCCAAGGAAACCGAAAGAAAUCGCAGAGUGACCCUGGUCUGCAGACACCCACGAUCAAGAGACACCAAAUACAGCGGAAGAAGUACAAAACUGCAGAAUUCCUCUUUGGCCCAUCCGGAACCCAAUCUCUCCUCUUCACAAGAAGAUAAUUCACGUCCUCCACGUAAUGAGGCCUGGAGCCGUGCCAACAAGCCACUCUGCCGCCCAUCAGUAGGCCCCCCCAGACUGGGAGUAGAUGGAAUCAUUGCUUUGUUGAAGAGCAAGUGCGGUAAUGGACGCGUGAACCUACAGCCUGUAGUGAGGUUGAUGGACAUCAUGAAAGAUCUCAGCCAACUGUCUAGUGAUCUACAAUCUAGUGGUGUACGUUUGGAUUGCACCCAUGUUGCAAGCUCCCCUUCAGAGUCAGAAAAUGCAGAACCAGGAUUACAAUAUAGUUUCUUCUCAUCUCAGAGUUUGGCAUGUGGUCUGAGAAGCCCAGAGGAAAAGCCAUCUGAGACUGUCGAGAAAGAGCCAGUUCCUGUUUCUCCCAACCCAGACUCCAUGGAGUCUGCCAGUUCAGAGGUCUUGAGAGAACUAGCAGCUCUAGCCUGGAUGGAACCUCAACAAACAGAGAGCAAAGGGGAGAUAGAGGAGAGGAUUGAAAGGAGACUGGAAAAGGUGGAAGAAACUAGAGGCCAAAAUGAAGAGACAUCAAAGGAACUUGACCAUAGUGAAAUGGAAGAUGUGGGGCCUAGAGAGGAAAAGAUCACUAAACAGGAAGAUGAUGAGUCAGGUGAGGAACCAGAUGAAAGUAAACAUGAGGAUGAAUCAGGGGAGGAACAAGAUGGAAGUAAACAGGAAGAUGAUUCUGGAGAGGAGCAAGAAGACCUUAAACAAGGAGAGGAAUCAUCGGGAGAUGAUCAGGAAGAGAAUAAACAAGACGAGGACUCAUCUGAGGAAGAUCAGGGGGAAAGUAAACAGGAUGAAGAAUCAUCUGAGGAUGAGCAGGACGAAGGGGCUGGGGACAAUGAGGCAGAAGACCCAACAGAUGGCAAAAUGAAUGAACAGGGUGAUAUAACAUUAGUCCAGGAAAAUCAACUUAAUUUGAAAGAUAUGGGGGUAGCAAGCCUAGAUGCAGAUUUGAAAGAACAAUCAUCUGAUGAGGAAAGCAGGGAAGAUGAAAGCAAACAAGAAGAAGAGAAAACAGUAGAAAGGGAAGUACUCAUGGAGACACAAAUGGAGCAGUUGCCCUGGAUGCUCCCGCUCUUUUCUCCUUCGGUUGAUAACAUCAGAAGAAUCUCCUUUUCUCACCGUGGUAGAUUUGGUCACAGAGGACGCAGGGGUGAUAGGCCUGGUAGAGGACGGCGAAGAAGACCAGGUAGGCCACGAGCUUCAGAGAGCCUUUCAAGGGCAUAUGUGAUGCCACCCUAUCACCGAACCCCUGAAGAGCCAAGGGCAUAUCGGCUCCAUGAGCAAAGCUUACAUUUUACACACUCCAUUAACAACCCCCCCUCCAUGGAAACACCUAAAGAAGAAGGCCCCCCCAAAAAGCCAAAACGCAAGGGAGUUCGCAAGAUGGUGGUUCGGAUUGCAAAAAUCCCCAUGCCUGUGGGUAGAAGAAACAAAACAAGUUACAAAGUGUCUUCUUUCAGCAGUACAUUGAGUGUGGAAGGAGGAGAACUGAUAGGUGGGUCUGGCCCUGGUCCUACAUCACUUCUCAAAAUGAAGAAUAAUGGGCGCAAUGUUGUCAUGGUGUUUCCACCUGGUGAACUCCCCAUCAUACUUAAAAGGAGGAGAGGAAGGCCUCCAAAGAACCUUGUGUUAGCACGUGAAACCCCUCCAAUGCUGCCCCAGCCACCCCCCAAAGAACCUGCAGCACUGCCACCUCCAACUUCCCAGCCUCCCACACCAUUACCAGAGGGUGAAAUGGUCAAGAAGCGGCGGCGAAGGAAACAGAAACUUCCAUCUCCCCAGCCAUCAUAUGUGGCAGAUGCCAAUGACAGCAAGUCUGAAUAUAGUGAUGUGCUGGCAAAGCUUGCUUUCUUAAACAGACAAAGUCAAACAGCUGGGCGCAAUUCACCUCCCCGCUGCUGGACUCCAACUUUGCCAGAAUCUGUUCACCAAGCCCCUGACACUCACAGCAUUUCACAGUUUCUGCACAGAGUGCAAGGUUACCGCAGGCGAGGUGGGCGUGGAGGUGGCCCAGGUCGGCGAGGAGGAUGUAACAGCCAUAACCCAGAGUUGUCCCGUUGUUCCUUCAGUGACUUCUUUGAGGGUAUUGGUAAGAAGAAGACCAAAGCAAGGCCUGUUGACCCUCUAAAGCCACGGAAACGGAGACAGCCGCGAGCUGAGCCAGAUCCCAAUGCUAAGCCCAAGCGCAAGAGGAGAUCACGUAAGAAUGGUGCUCUUCUUGGUGAAAUGGGUGGAGAGGGAAGUUUAGGCUAUCAAGGCACAUCUGAAUGGGGACCUGAAGGUAAAGGAACACCAUGGCCGGGUCAGCUUUCUCACAGCCAGUCAGGUGGUAGACACUGCAGUUAUCAAGGACCUGAAAACAGGGGAUUUUCUUCAAUGCACAGUGGAUCCCCUAACAGACCUAGUUACUAUGCAGGAGCAGGAUCAGUGUCCCAUGCCGAGGGUGGAGGGCAGGACCGCCACAGCCUCUUUACUGGGUAUUUCCGCUCCCUCCUUGACUCAGAUGACUCUUCUGAUCUAGUAGAUUUUGCCAUGGCUGCCCAGAGACAAGAAGCCCGGAAAUCAGCAUCAGCCUUCUCUGGAUCGUCAUCUUCCCCUAACACCCGAGCUCUCCAGUCCUAUUCCAACUCCCGGGGCACUAAAGCUAGUGCUCAAGAAUCAGCAUACCAAAGCUCAGCACCAGCCAGGCAGCAAUUUCCACCAAGUCGAGGGUCAUCAAAUUAUGCAGCAUUAAAUCAACAAGACUGCCAUGGCUCUGAUGCCUUUCAGAAGCUGGUGUCUCGUUCACCUAAUUCUCAUCAUACUGGGGGCUUUAGCCAAUAUAGUGGUUUCUCUGGAACUGGUGGUCAGAGCCUUCCCAGCCAUGGACUUUUUGCACCUAACAAACAGUAUCCCUCUGGACCCCCAGAUUGUGCAGGCAACAAGGACUGUAGUUUCUCAUUCAGUGGAGGUAACAGCCUCCCUUCAUCACCUGGCAGUGCUCAUAGUGGUACAGGUUUCAGCCAUCAGCAGCAACAACAAUUGCCUGCUGUAGGAUCUGGAGUUAACAUGUCCAAAAACCCCUUCUUUAAUACAUCAGAAGUGCCCCCUUUUCCCCCCCUUAGGAGCGAGAGUCGAUCAGGUACCUCCUCACCUGCCAAUUACAUGCUGCCUAAAGCUGCUGGAUCACUCUUCCCUGGGGAAAAUAGCCGUACCUUUCCAGGGACUUCAAGUCAGUGGGCUUUUAGGCAGGGUUACAGCCAGACAGAUUGGGGUCCUGACAGUUUUGGACAGCUCUAUGGAGCUGGUUUUGAUUGUCACAUGACAGAGUCCAAUGUUAUCUUAGACAUUAGCAACUAUACUCCCCAGAAAGCCAAACAGAACACAGACAACAUUUCUGAAUCAUCCUCUGACAGCACACAGUACACACAGCCUGGGGCUGGCUAUCGCCGGGCCAACAGUGAGGCUUCAUCUAGUGAAGGGCAAUCCAGCUUAUCAAGUCUUGAAAAAUUAAUGAUGGAUUGGAAUGAAACAUCCUCUGCCCCUGGAUACAGCUGGAACCAGAGUGUUCUCUUUCACCAUACUGCUAAACCUGGUCGGGGGAGAAGGAAGAAAGCUGAUAUUUUUGAACCCUCACACCCACAUCACCAUCACCUGGGCUUCUCCUCAUCCUCUCCUUCUUCCUCCUCUUCCUCAGCUGCUGCUCCUCCUACAGGCUUUCCCAGUAAACGAGGAGGGGGUCCAAGAGGUCCAAGGGGUGGUCGUGGUGGGGGCUGUUCCACAAACAGGAAAGAGAGAGGUUCAGGAAAGGCUAAGUUUGUCCCAAAACCACCUGCUCCACCUCCAUCAUCCUCUGUGAGCUCCCUGUUCCAGGAGUCCUCAGAGCUAGGAUUGGACUGCUAUAGUGGGGAUAGUAGCAUGUCACCUCUGCCUUCCCACUCACGGGCAUAUAGUGUAGGAGAGAGAGAUCCCCCUUGUGACUUUUCUGGACCUUAUUCCAUGAACCCGUCUACCCCUUCUGAUGGCACAUUUGGUUUCCAGAGUGACUCCCCGGGGCUGUGCCCUCCCACAACAGAGCUAGAGCCUGGAAAACACUUUUCUCACCUCCCACCAUCCGGAAGUGCCACCUCUGGUGCCCCACAUCCUCCUCCACCACCUGGCCUGGGUUACGAACAUCCCAUGCAAGACUCUCCUUUUUCUCCCAACUGCUCCCCUACACUUGAGCUACGGCCAGGGGAAGGAAGGAAGCUAGUACCCUCUUCUCACUCAUCCUGUGAUCCCCUCAAACACAGUUUGCCUCCACACUUGCCCUCUUGUCGUGAGCAACUACCAUCCCAACCUUCCACCCAUCACCGCUAUGAGCCCCCCAGCUGCAAAAAUGCUGGCUACUGGUACCCACCUCGCAGUCCUCCUUAUGAUGGAAAAGGGGGCUUACUUUCAGACUUUAUGGGCAGGCGGGGGGAGGGAGCAUCCUGUCUGAGCCCCCAUAUCCCCAGCCCUAAAAGGGACAAAGAGACGCUGGACAUGAUGAGAGGACACCACAGAGCCCCAUACCCUUGCCCAUUGCUCAGUGAUAUCACCCAUUCCCCUGUGCAAAGAGACUCCAUGGUGCAACUACAGGAGACCUAUCGCUACCCAGCCUUUCCCCCCCAGGGACCCCCAGUUCUGUCCCCUCCCAACAUGAAGGGUGGGUUUCUGGGACCUGAAAAUAUUCCUGAAGACAACUUUACAGUCACCUCCCUUUAGUGAGGUGACUUGUCUGGAGUCAUCGGGAGCAGCAGAGGCCGGGGGGUGAGGAUCUGAAUUCAAAUAACUGCUUCAGACCAUAUGCAACUUAUGUGAAUGCUCAGACCCCUCCUCCCUCCAUCGAAGCCAGAAGAAAUGCCGUGGGAUCUCCCUUCUGAGCCUGCACCCCCUAAAUCAUAAGAGUGUGCUCUCCAUCUUCCCCCUAAUCUCUGGGUCCCUUACCUUUUAUUCUUUAGUUUCCUUUUUUCUGUUUUGUUUUGUUUUUCUUCCUCUUCACAAAACCAGCAAAAAUUGUACAUAAGAAAUUUUUUAAAUGUUGCAAAACUGUACAAAAAGAAAAAAGAAAAAAAAAAAGAAAAAUGCGAAGGUGGGGAAGUGUGUGUGGGGGGAGGGGAGGAGAGACUUAUCUGUUAUUCCCUCUUGGUCAACCACCUGCAACACAUUAGCAUCUCUGUUAAGGAAAGGGUUAAAGGCCCCCCACACCCUCAGUACCCAUAGUCUGCACCACCCUCCCUCUCUCCCCCCCCCAUCUACCGGCUGCACUGAAAUUGCGUAUGUUAAAUCACCACCACCCUCGGCGGUUACAACUAUUUAUUGUAAAUAAGGAUUUCUCAUAAAUUGUGUAUUGUCCAAAAACAGUUUUGUGUUUUCAAUGGGGAUUAAAAAUAUUGUUUCUG